UUAACCUCAGAUCAGGCAAGAUUACCCGCUGAAUUUAAGCAUAUUACUAAGCGGAGGAAGAGAAACUAACAAGGAUUCCCCCAGUAAUGGCGAAUGAAGAGGGAACAGCUCAACUUGAAAAUCUCCGUUGUGUUGCAACGGCGAAUUGUAGUUUCGAGAAUUACUAUCUCCGCGCACGGGCCAGCCCAAGUUGCUUGGAACAGCACGUCGUAGAGGG
rnacentral:rRNA from 5 species